CGACCGGCGCACGGGUGAGUAACACGUAUGCAACCUGGCCGUGACAGAUGGAUAACCGGGAGAAAUCCCGCCUAAUACAACAUAAUGCCGGGAGGGGACAUCCCCUGCCGGUCAAAGGGGGCGACCCCGGUCAUGGAUGGGCAUGCGGCGCAUUAGGUAGUUGGUGGGGCAACGGCCCACCAAGCCGACGAUGCGUAGGGGUUCUGAGAGGAAGGUCCCCCACAUUGGAACUGAGACACGGUCCAAACUCCUACGGAAGGCAGCAG
rnacentral:rRNA from 1 species